rnacentral:rRNA from 1 species
GAUGAACGCUAGCGGCAGGCCUAAUACAUGCAAGACGAACGGUUAGUUGAGUAGCAAUACUUAGCCAAGAGUGUCGUACGGGUGCGUAACACGUGUGCAACCUACCCUAUACAGGAGGAUAGCCUAGGGAAACCUGGAUUAACCCUUCAUAGUAUUAUUGGAUGGCAUCAUUUGAUAAUUAAAACUGAGGUGGUAUAGGAUGGGCAUGCGUCUGAUUAGUUAGUUGGCGGGGUAAUGGCCCACCAAGACGAUGAUCAGUAGGGGUUCUGAGAGGAAGAUCCCCCACACUGGCACUGAGAUACGGGCCAGACUCCUACGGGAGCAGCAGUAGGGAAUAUUGGGUCAAUGGAUGCAAGUCUGAACCAGCCAUGCCGCGUGCAGGAAGAAGGCCUUCUGGGUUGUAAACUGCUUUUGCCAGGGGAUAAAAUUUCCAUGCGUGGAAACUGAAGGUACCUGGUGAAUAAGCCACGGCUAACUACGUGCCAGCAGCCGCGGUAAU